rnacentral:lncRNA from 1 species
ACAAACAUAGCUUCAGCUACCACCGGACCUAAAAUAACAUAUGAUCAAUCAAAAAAUGUUACAAAUUAUAAGCACUUCACAAUGUCACUCUAUGGGGGUGUUUGGCCUAGCUUUUUUAACAAAGCUUAUAGCUUUUUUAGCUUAAACCUAUUAAAACAAACACUUAAACCUUCAUCUCCACUACUAUAACCAAUGUAACACAUUACUUUCAACACAAACUAUUAAUUCAUCCUUAAUAAUAUUGCAUCUCAUAACCCUAACUCUAAUUUGGGGAAAAUAUAAUAACUAACUAACUAACCAGGUUUAACCACAUGACGAUUGGUUAAUAUAAUUCCACGCCUCUUAUCAACAACAAACCCCGUAGCGUAGCUGGCACCAGCUGAUUCGGUAUCGAACGCACGACACGCGGUUGUUCGAAGCACCACCACCGCCGGAACCACCUUUUGUAGCGCCUUCCGCCAGUCCUCCGCCGUAGCUAGGUUUUCUCCCAACGGAGGAUCGAUCUCCAUACACAGUUCAUCCUUUGAUCCUGAUUUCUCCGGUGAUGACGCGAUCUGUUGUUGAAGGAUUGUGA